UACGUAGGGACCGAGCGUUGUUCGGAAUUACUGGGCGUAAAGGGCUCGUAGGCGGCCAACUAAGUCAGACGUGAAAUCCCUCGGCUUAACCGGGGAACUGCGUCUGAUACUGGAUGGCUUGAGGUUGGGAGAGGGAUGCGGAAUUCCAGGUGUAGCGGUGAAAUGCGUAGAUAUCAGGAGGAACACCUGUGGCGAAAGCGGCUCACUGGACCACAACUGACGCUGAUGCACGAAAGCUAGGGGAGCAAACAGG
rnacentral:rRNA from 1 species